UACGUAGGGUCCGAGCGUUGUCCGGAAUUAUUGGGCGUAAAGGGCUCGUAGGCGGUUCGUCACGUCGGGGAGUGAAAACUCGGGGCUUAACCCCGAGCCUGCUUCCGAUACGGGCAGACUAGAGGUAGGCAGGGGAGAGCGGAACUCCUGGUGUAGAGGUGAAAUUCGUAGAUAUCAGGAGGAACACCGGUGGCGAAGGCGGCUUUCUGGACGACAACUGACGCUGGAGACGC
rnacentral:rRNA from 1 species